AACCGACGAUAUCCUCAUUAUCUUGAUGAGCCCUGCAAAUUGAAGUGUGACUGAUCGUGCUGUAUUUACUUUGACUGCAGAUGGAAAGAGCUUUUCUUGCGAUUUUAUUCCGAUCAAAAUUAAUCAUGACUUAUGGCUAAAUUUAACAGAAUAAUAUUUCGCAGAAGCCAACAUAACGAAAUAGCAGAUACUUUGAACCGAAAAUAAAUAAAUCAGCAGCCUGUCAAAUGGCUUUGUAUAAAUUUCAGGAGUCUGUCAACUAGCAGAAUGAGGACCUCGCAAAGUGCUUUUGCUGUCAGCUUUAUAUACUCUCAGGAAUAUUUCGAGGACUGAAGUUUAGGGUUUUAGGAUUGAGAUAUCUGGCAUGAAGGUUUGUGUUGAAACUUGUGGAAAAACCAUUUAAGGUUUCAUACAAUAUAGAACAGAGGAUAAAGAAAUGUCGUCAACGACGAGGAAGAAAAAGCCUUCUGCUUUUCGAGAUUUUCCCUUAGGAUGUGGGAGGUUUGCACCGCGGAUGACAAGAGAAGAGUUGUCUGCAGUUCGUGAUUUUCCCGAAGAUUGUGGAAGGAAUGCAGCCGCUACGACCAAGAAGGAUUUGGAAGAAUCAACAGAGGUUGAUAAAACACGCCAGGAAGGAGAUGCUGAUGCAAGAACUGCAGGGGCUGGAUUUGAUUCGGCGCUGUCUAAGGCAACUUUAAAAGUUGCUGGAUUAGAUGACACUGUAGAAAAGUUGACUAGUCUGAACGUGGAAGUCAAUAAUGAGAAAAUUGACGCCAUGCCAUUGGAAUCAGAAGCCAAACCAAAUGCAGUAAAGGAAAGUAUUGAUAAAUUAGAAGACAAUCAACUUUUGCCAGAUAUAAAUGUUGAUGAUAACACUGAACCGUCAAAACUGGUUGCAUCCGAAAUAAAAAAUGACAGAAACAAAGAUAGUGAAGAGGAUAUUACCCCAUCUGAGACGACUUUAUCCAAAUCAAAAACUGACACGAGUAAAGACUCUAGAAAGGAAAGUAUGCAAGUGAAGUCAAUGCCCAAACAACCUGCAUCAAAGGCGAAGGUUGAUAAGAAAAGAGAUGAUAAGGAUAUUGUGCCAUUGAAGUCUCAAGCUAAACAGCCUGCAACAAAGAAGAAAGUUGACAGCGAGAGUGAUAAGGGCGAGAACAUCAUGGCAUCAAAGCAGUCCGCAUCCAAAGCAACAAUUGAGAAGAAAAGAGAUGGCAAAGGGAAUGCUAAACCUUUGAAACAAGAAGCUAAGCAAAUGGGUCAGAAGAAAAAGAGUGUUAAGAAAGGAGAUGCAGUAGGGGAUAUUAGUCCUUUGGAAAGCAAGGAAGCAAAGGAAAAAUCUGGCAGGAAAAAUGAUGCUGAAGAUGAUGUUGUUGAUGAUAGUGCAGAGCCAGAUCAUGCGGAUUCAGAAAGUACUCCCACAAAGCUUAAUAUCAAGGAGGGGGACAAACCUGAGUCAGCGAAUGAUAAAAAUUCAACUGCGAGUGCUGAAAAAAGCAGUAUAAAACGCAAGAAGACUCCUGCAAGCACUGCAAACAGGCGUAAGUCAAGUGGCAAGAAAGCCAAGGUGUUCCGUUCUGGUGAUGGAGAUGAUAAUUUGGAUGCAGGCUCCAGUAGGAAUGAAGUAAGAAUGACUCUUAUGAUGUAUGAUGCUUUACGUCGACACUAUGUGCUAGAAGAUGAAGAAAGCAAGCAAGCAGGUAAACGUGCAGGUGGUGGGGUUAAAAGACCAGAUGUGGAAGCAGGUAGUAGAAUGAUGGACAAGGGUCUCUGGCUUAAUCGAGAUCGAAAGGUUGUGGGAGAUCUUCCAGGGGUGCAACCUGGUGAUAUUUUUUAUUUCAGACUUGAAAUGUGUGCAAUUGGACUACAUUCACAGGUACAGGCCGGAAUACAUUACAUUGGUGCAAACAACAGUGAGUGGAAGGAUUCAGUAGCUGUUAGUAUUAUCGCAUCUGGGGGGUAUGAAGAUGAUGAAGAUGAUGGUGGGGAAACAUUGGUCUAUACUGGGUCGGGGGGAAAUAGCAAGACUGAUGGGAAACAGAAUGACGACCAGAAAUUAGAGAGGGGAAAUCUUGCUCUUGAGCGAAGUAUGCAUCAUGGGGUUGAAAUCAGGGUGAUUCGUGGUAAGAAGGACAGUAGGAGUGCUUCUGGAAAGAUAUACAUUUAUGAUGGCCUGUAUAAGGUUGAGGACUAUUGGUUGGACAAAGGGAAGUCUGGAUUUGGUGUUUUCAAGUACAGGUUGCAGAGGUUACCUGGCCAACCCGAGUUAUCAUCCGAUAUACUAAAAUCUGCUAUUAAAUGGAAAUCGAAUCCAUCUUUAAGGCAAGGACUCAUUUCUUCAGACAUAUCUUCAAAAAGAGAGAACACACCUGUUUAUCUUGUGAACACUGUUGAUGAAGAUAAAGGGCCAGAACAGUUUGAGUACAUAAGUGAAGUGAAGGUUCCAAAGUCUGUUCUUGAUUGUGUACCAUCUAACAGUUGUGAUUGUAAAGGGAGCUGUGCUCCUGGUGGAAAAUGCUCUUGUUUUUCAUUGAAUGGAGGACAAAUGCCUUAUACUCAUAAUGGGUUUCUUGUUAAGUGGAGGCCAAUGGUCUAUGAAUGCAGUGAGCUUUGCAGCUGUCCCCCAACUUGCCGUAACAGAUUGACUCAAAAGGGACUCAAGUUCCAUUUGGAAGUAUUCAAAACUGAAAAUCGAGGAUGGGGUGUGCGUUCAUGGGACCCUAUUCCAGCUGGUGCUUUUAUCUGUGAAUAUGUGGGCGAAGUUCUCUCAAGUGAGGAUAUAGAUCAGCAGGUUGAGGAAAAUGAAUUUCUGCUUUAUGCAAAGCGUGCCCUGGAACAUUCGACUGACUGGGGUGAUGUUUCUAAUAUCCUUCCUGAGAAGAAUCAAGAAGACACUGUUCAAGCCCCCCCUCCAUUGACGUUUGCCAUAAAUGCUAAGAACUUGGGAAAUGUUUCUCGCUUUAUCAAUCAUAGUUGCUCUCCAAAUGUUCUACUUCAGAGUGUCCUUAAUGAUCACCAUAAUACUCAAUUUCCACAUAUCAUGCUUUUUGCCAUGGAACAUAUUCCUCCAUUGACUGAAUUGACAUUUGACUAUGGAGUGAUUGACAGUGGAGAGGAUAAGAGUUACGUCAAAGCCUAGGUCUGUUUGUUUCGUCAAUGAACUGCAGAGGGGAAUAUCCCUAAAAUUACAUGGAAUUCAUACAACUUAAAAAAUGAAGCAUGUAUUCAGCAACUUCUAUUCUGAGGUAUUCCUGAUUUUGAUUCCACGUCGUUAUCAAGUUCAGAUUUGUGCUACAAAAAACUUUUAUUGACAGGGCUUGCUCAAACACGGGUUUCUUUGAUUUAAAAGGCUGCACUGGGUCAUGCUGCUGCUGUACCAUAGUUCUUUUGUCAACUAAGACCCUUUUACUACUAUCACUACCUACUUUCUGGGAUAAUCAAAUCCUGGUAGCAUAGGCUACAUGUGCACCACCAUGUUUACUUUCAUAUCUAUUUGCAGCAAUGUUUUUUAUAUGUGCCGUUGAUGUAUACAUAAGAUGUAGGGCUAUCUAUAACACAUGCUUGUUUGCAUCUAUGAUCAUUCUCUUGUAAAUUAUCGUCUGCCCAAAUUUUGAAGAAGCUUUCUUUUUCCAACAGAAGUCCCAUCUUAACGAAGCAUCUUUAGCAUUUUAAUUGUAUGCUAUCUCUUAAUUUAUCUUAAUUAAAAUGUAAGAUAAUUUCUGUGCCGCA